GACGAACGCUGGCGGCGUGCCUAAUACAUGCAAGUCGAGCGGACCGAACAGGAGCUUGCUCUUGUUCGGUUAGCGGCGGACGGGUGAGUAACACGUGGGUAACCUGCCCGUAAGACCGGGAUAACUCCGGGAAACCGGAGCUAAUACCGGAUAACACCGAAGACCGCAUGGUCUUUGGUUGAAAGGCGGCUUCGGCUGCCACUUACGGAUGGGCCCGCGGCGCAUUAGCUAGUUGGUGAGGUAACGGCUCACCAAGGCGACGAUGCGUAGCCGGCCUGAGAGGGUGACCGGCCACACUGGGACUGAGACACGGCCCAGACUCCUACGGGAGGCAGCAGUAGGGAAUCUUCCGCAAUGGACGAAAGUCUGACGGAGCGACGCCGCGGGAGCGAAGAAGGUCUUCGGAUCGUAAAGCUCUGUUGUUAGGGAAGAAGAAGCGUCGUUCGAACAGGGCGGCGCGGUGACGGUACCUAACGAGAAAGCCCCGGCUAACUACGUG
rnacentral:rRNA from 1 species